ACCAGAACAGAUCUGCUCUAGUUCCAGAACGUAAUAACACGUUUAGUGUACGGAAAAUAUUCGUAUUUCUGUCCAAACCGCACCCCAAUUUCAUUCCUUAACAAAAUGUGCAAGUGCAUUGCUGGAACAUGUGUCUGUUGCUGCUGCCAAUGCGCCAUGAGCGUGUUCAUUUCGCUUCUGACGGUCUUCAUAUUGGUAGCCGUAGCGGUCGCAUUGGGAAUUUACUUCGGGCUGCUGAACGUUCACGAUACAGCCCCGAACGUAUCGGACUUUGUCCAUAAAACUGGCGACUCCAUUAAGGAUAGCAUUAAGGACAAGUUUAACUAGUUUAUGGACUGUUUAUACGGAUCUAAAUUGAAUCGAAAAUAUUUAUAUCUUAUUUAUGAAUAUCUAUACAACAAUUUAAUGUGCUACGAUACACAACGGCAUAAAAAUUUAAUCGAAAAUAAGUCGUACAAAACAGUGCUUUAAUCGCUACUCGCUAGUGCUUUAAUCGUCUACUCAGUCCACCAAACUGCAGCCAUAAUAACACAGCUUACCCCAGUAGUAGCGGCAAUAGACUAUUUGCAGUGAAAUAUGCUCUGGAAUCAUUCAAUCAGUUGGAGUUCCUGAUCCUAAACAUGAGCCAUGAGUGUCUUCAUUUCGCUCCUGACAGUCUUAUUGAUGGCUGUAACAAUGGCAUUGGGAAUUUACAUCGAGCAACUAAACGUCGACGAUACAGCUCAUGGCGGUAUCGGACUUUGUCCACAACGCUGACAACUCCAUUAGGGACAGCAUUAAGGACAAGUCCAGUUAGUUCUCUGCCUUUUUACAUGCCUGCCAAUUAUUUAAGGAAAUGUUUACAUCACAUUUAAGAAUCUCAAAACAAUAUAUUUAAUUCGCUUCUACCAAUAAUGGCAUAUAAAUUUACACAACGAAAGUGGUACAAAGCAGUGCAUUAUUCGACUACCGACACAUCACUGAUAUGUCAGCCAGUCGUACAGAUUCAAACCAUAACUACAUAGCUUACCAGAAGUAGCAGAAAUAGACUAUAUGCAAAAGAAAUUUGCUCAGGAAACUCUAAUGCAAUUGGCGAAUUACAUCGUGCAACAUUUAUGUUGUAUUCUUUUUGCGAUCGCCAUUGCCGUUGCCAUUUAUUAUGGAGUUAUUCAAGUCGACGAAGAUGCUUCCGAUGCAAUCAAGGAGACGGGAUUCAAAAUUAAGCAUUCCAUUAAAGAUGGUUUGAAAAAACUAAGCG